rnacentral:rRNA from 1 species
CUACGGGCCGCAGCAGUGGGGAAUAUUGGACAAUGGGGGAAACCCUGAUCCAGCAAUGCCGCGUGUGUGAAGAAGGCCUGCGGGUUGUAAAGCACUUUCGGUUGGGAGGACUGCUUCUAGCACUAAUAUUGUUGGAAGUUGACGUUACCUUCAGAGGAAGCACCGGCUAACUCCGUGCCAGCAGCCGCGGUAAUACGGAGGGUACAAGCGUUAAUCGGAAUUACUGGGCGUAAAGCGCGCGUAGGCGGCUAGAUCAGUCGGGUGUGAAAGCCCCGGGCUUAACCUGGGAACUGCAUCCGAUACUGUCUAGCUUGAGUACAGGAGAGGAGAGUGGAAUUCCACAUGUAGCGGUGAAAUGCGUAGAUAUGUGGAGGAACACCAAUGGCGAAGGCAGCUCUCUGGCCUGAUACUGACGCUGAGGUGCGAAAGCGUGGGGAGCAAACAGGAUUAGAUACCCCUGUAGUC